rnacentral:rRNA from 1 species
UACGUAGGUGGCAAGCGUUGUCCGGAUUUACUGGGCGUAAAGAGCGCGCAGGCGGUCGUUCAAGUCGCGUGUGAAAGCCCCCGGCUCAACUGGGGAGGGUCACGCGAUACUGAUCGACUCGAAGGCAGGAGAGGGUAGUGGAAUUCCCGGUGUAGUGGUGAAAUGCGUAGAUAUCGGGAGGAACACCAGUGGCGAAGGCGACUACCUGGCCUGUUCUUGACGCUGAGGCGCGAAAGCCAGGGGAGCAAACGGG